CGGACUGUAGGCUGCAACUCGCCUACACGAAGUCGGAAUCGCUAGUAAUCGCAGAUCAGCAUGCCGCGGUGAAUACGUUCCCGGGCCUUGUACACACCGCCCGUCACACCAUGGGAGUUUGUAACGCCCAAAGUCGGUGGCCUAACCUUUAUGGAGGGAGCCGCCUAAGGCGGGACAGAUGACUGGGGUGAAGUCGUAACAAGGUAAC
rnacentral:rRNA from 1 species